rnacentral:rRNA from 1 species
GACGAACGCUGGCGGCGUGCUUAACACAUGCAAGUCGAACGGAAAGGCCCUGCUUUUGUGGGGUGCUCGAGUGGCGAACGGGUGUGUAACACGUGAGUAACCUGCCCUUGUCUUUGGGAUAACUUCAGGAAACUGGGGCUAAUACCGGAUAGGAGCUCCUGCUGCAUGGUGGGGGUUGGAAAGUUUCGGCGGUUGGGGAUGGACUCGCAGCUUAUCAGCUUGUUGGUGGGGUAGUGGCUUACCAAGGCUUUGACGGGUAGCCGGCCUGAGAGGGUGACCGGCGACAAUGGGACUGAGAGACGGCCCAGACGCCUACUGGAGGCAGCAGGGGGGAAUAUUGCACAAUGGGCGGAAGCCUGAGGCAGCAACGCCGCGUGCGGGAUGACGGCCUUCGGGUGGUAAACCGCUGUCGCCGGUGACGAAGCGGGAGUGACGGUAAUGGGUAAAGAAGCACCGGCUAACUACGUG